GGUUAGAGUACAUGUACAUCUUGAACAGCCAUUUCCAGGAUAUAUUCUGAAGACAGCGAUGUGAAAGUUCAAGAUCCUUUAAUAAUAAAGAAUGGGUGGAAAAAUUCUCACAUCAUGCUGCAUUUCAGCUGUAACAAUACAAAUUAUCUGAUGAAAGCUUCAACCACGAGAAUAGGAAAGGAUGUCAAGGCCAAAG